CUGACGGCAGAUAUAGCAGGCGCUUCAUUGUGUUAUUAAACGCUUAAUUAUUAAAUGAAAGUUGUUAAAGUAUUAAUAUAACUAAAUGACUUAACCGUGGACGUAAGUAGUUUAUAACAGCGAGAUUAUUAAAUCUGGACAAUUCCAUUCUCGUACGUUAGUUCGGUUGAUUGAUACGACCAGGACUGUCUGUACCCGUAUGACGAUACACCGUACACGUUCAGUGUUUCAUAAACACAGUCCAGUUAUGAACAGGGAGGAUAAUAGUCUCUAAGGCUUUUGAUUAUUCAGCUUUGAAAAUGGCAGAAGGAGACGUGGUAUAUACGCGGUCAGAGACUGGAAGCGAUCAUAGACACAGCGGCCUGUACAGCCGUCACUCUCGAAAUUAUGUGGAAAGUGUGUCCGUGGAGAUCUGUACUAUAAUGACCCGGCUGGGAUACGGCGAGGAGAUCAGGCGGUGGCGGGUUGAGAAAUAUAGGAGGCAAGAUAGGCUGAUA